GUGACAAAUUGUUCAACGGCCGCGGUAUUCUGACCGUGCAAAGGUAGCGUAAUCACUUGUCUUUUAAAUAAAGACUGGUAUGAAAGGCACCACGAAGAUUCAACUGUCUCUCUUAUCUAGUCAGUGAAACUGAUCUCCCCGUGCAGAAGCGGGGAUGCACACACAAGACGAGAAGACCCCAUGGAGCUUAAAACACAAGCAACUGCUAUCCAAUAACCAUCGAAAGACUAAAUCUACAAUCAAGCAGAAAUGACCCAAUGUUUUCGGUUGGGGCGACCACGGAGAAUAAAACAUCCUCCGCGAGAUGGAGGUUACACCCUGAAACGAACGACAGUUCUAAACAUCAGAACAUCUGACCUUCUUGAUCCA
rnacentral:rRNA from 1 species